rnacentral:rRNA from 1 species
UACGAAGGGUGCAAGCGUUAAUUGGAAUUACUGGGCGUAAAGCGCGCGUAGGUGGUUCAGUAAGUUGGAUGUGAAAUCCCCGGGCUCAACCUGGGAACUGCAUCCAAAACUGCUGAGCUAGAGUACGGUAGAGGGUGGUGGAAUUUCCUGUGUAGCGGUGAAAUGCGUAGAUAUAGGAAGGAACACCAGUGGCGAAGGCGACCACCUGGACUGAUACUGACACUGAGGUGCGAAAGCGUGGGGAGCAAACAGG